UUCUUUAGCGUGGAAUUAAAAGUAAGAUCUGCCCACUGUAAAAUGAAGGGCCGCGGUAUCUUGACCGUGCUAAGGUAGCAUAAUCAUUAGUUUCUUAAUUAGGAAAUAGAAUGAAUGAUUAAACCGAAAAGUGCUUUAUUCAGUUUAAUUAAAUUGAAUUUAAGGUUAAAGUGAAAAUGUUUAAAUGUUCCUAUUAGACGAUAAGACCCUAUAGAACUUAAUUCUUUUUUGAUUUAUUGAAGUAGGGGUUUAAAUAAAAAAAGGAAAGAGUUUUGUUGGGGUAACAGGAGAAUAGAGAAAAUUUCUUUAUAGAAAAUUUUAGAGUUUAAUAAUUAGCCAGAGUUUAGAAAUUAAAAAGUUACCUUAGGGAUAACAGCGUAAUUAAUUCGGAGAGUUCAGAUUAAUGAAUUAGAUUACGACCUCGAUGUUGAAUUAAAAAUCCUAAUAGGGGCAGUACUUUAAAGAGGUGGUUUGUUCAACCAUUAAAUUUUUACA
rnacentral:rRNA from 1 species